rnacentral:rRNA from 1 species
AUUGAACGCUGGCGGCAGGCCUAACACAUGCAAGUCGAGCGGAUGAAGGGAGCUUGCUCCUGGAUUCAGCGGCGGACGGGUGAGUAAUGCCUAGGAAUCUGCCUGGUAGUGGGGGAUAACGUCCGGAAACGGGCGCUAAUACCGCAUACGUCCUGAGGGAGAAAGUGGGGGAUCUUCGGACCUCACGCUAUCAGAUGAGCCUAGGUCGGAUUAGCUAGUUGGUGGGGUAAAGGCCUACCAAGGCGACGAUCCGUAACUGGUCUGAGAGGAUGAUCAGUCACACUGGAACUGAGACACGGUCCAGACUCCUACGGGAGGCAGCAGUGGGGAAUAUUGGACAAUGGGCGAAAGCCUGAUCCAGCCAUGCCGCGUGUGUGAAGAAGGUCUUCGGAUUGUAAAGCACUUUAAGUUGGGAGGAAGGGCAGUAAGUUAAUACCUUGCUGUUUUGACGUUACCGACAGAAUAAGCACCGGCUAUCUUCGUG